UACGGAGGGAGCUAGCGUUGCUCGGAAUCACUGGGCGUAAAGGGUGCGUAGGCGGGUUUUUAAGUCAGAGGUGAAAUCCUGGAGCUCAACUCCAGAACUGCCUUUGAUACUGAAGAUCUUGAGUCCGGAAGAGGUGAGUGGAACUGCGAGUGUAGAGGUGAAAUUCGUAGAUAUUCGCAAGAACACCAGUGGCGAAGGCGGCUCACUGGUCCGGUACUGACGCUGAGGCACGAAAGCGUGGGGAGCAAACAGG
rnacentral:rRNA from 1 species